rnacentral:tRNA from 1 species
GGAGAGGUGGCUGAGUGGUCAAAAGCACCGCUCUCGAAAAGCGGCAGGCUCGCAAGAGUCUCGGGAGUUCGAAUCUCCCCCUCUCCGCAA